rnacentral:rRNA from 1 species
AUGUUAGCCAACUACAGCGGCUGGGUCGAGGUGCGUAAUCGUUGUCGUCAGCACCGUCAAGACGAGGCACCCUCCGUCAGUCGGCCCGUCCGCCCCAAGCUUUGGAUUCCUAGAUGGCUGGUGGGCAGAUGCUUUAGGUGCCUGGACUCGGGUCACAAUAAAGCGGAGUGCUUUGGGGAGAUUCGAUGCCAUCGUUGCUGGGAAUCCGGUCACAUCGCCCGUGAUUGUCCGCCACGCCCAGACUCGUCGCAAGCGCCGCCCCGCCCCCCACCCCGCCGCCCGCCGCCUCCAGUCACCCGCGCUCUGCUUGCCACGGUGAGGGGGAGGCGGCCUGCGGUUUCGCCCGAGGCCUUGGUCCAGUCCCUGACUCGAAUCUGCGGGGUGGAAAGGCGGCAUGUCAGGGUCGAGGUCACCCACCCCGCCGAUUUCUUCAUCACGUUCGCCUCCAACGCGGAUUGUGACAGGGUGUUCUCCUUCUCUGGCAAGCUGCGCUGCGCGGGGGCACCCAUUGCCUUCCGGCGAUGGCACAGGAGUGCGCUUGCAUCGAGCGGCAAGCUCGGUUUCUUCUGCAAGCUCGGGAUCGAGGGCUUGCCGGCGAGCGCCUGGGAAUGCGGGGCCAUCACCCAGCUCAUCAACAACCUGAACGGCCAGCUUGUUGAGAUAUUGCCUCCGGAGGACCGUUGGCAACUGGAGGUCACUGCAUGGAUGCGCAACCCGUUGGGCAUCCCGAAGAUUUAUGAUCUGGAGGUGCCGGAGCCGGUUGGCCUGAUGGAUUCG